rnacentral:rRNA from 1 species
CGGGGUGAGUAAUGUCUGGGAAACUGCCUGAUGGAGAGGGAUAACUACUGGAAACGGUAGCUAAUACCGCAUAACGUCGCAAGACCAAAGAGGGGGACCUUCGGGCCUCUUGCCAUCGGAUGUGCCCAGAUGGGAUUAGCUAGUAGGUGGGGUAACGGCUCACCUAGGCGACGAUCCCUAGCUGGUCUGAGAGGAUGACCAGCCACACUGGAACUGAGACACGGUCCAG